UACGGCCGCAUCACGUUGAAACACCGGUUCUCGUACGAUCACGGAAGUUAAGCAACGUCGAACCUGGUCAGUACCAAAAUGGGUGACCACGUGGGAAUACCACGUGCUGUAAU
rnacentral:rRNA from 1 species